rnacentral:lncRNA from 1 species
UGAAGGAGCCCAGGCAUGUGAAGUGGUCCUUGGAGGGUAUUGAGUCUCUGAUGAACAGCCUCCAUCUUGACAUACUAACAGAGUUGAGUCUUCAAAUCACUGCAGCCUCUGCAAACAUCACAUGGAACAGAACUGCCCAGUCUUGUUUUCAUAAGCUCACAUCUUGAUCUGUUUCCUUGCUGCUGCUGCUGCUGCUGCUGCUAAGUCACAUCAGCCGUGUCCUUCUCUGUGCGACCCCAUAGACGGCAGCCCACCAGGCUCCCCCGUUCCCUGGGAUUCUCCAGGCAAGAACUACAGGGCACCAAAGUAAGAAGGCUAGCCUGCAAAGUGAGAAUCUGUAAAUUUGUUUCUUUCAAAGAAACCAAAGAAAAUAGUUUUCAUGCAGUUAAUUAUUUAAGUCAUUCCAGUGGCAAGAAGGUUUUUCAGAAAUAACUGUGAUGUUAGUACUGGAUUUCUUUGUAAAAAUAAAUAAGCAAAACUUGUCAUUCAUUAAAAAAAAAAAGAAAAGUAUCCUAAUAGUCAGAUUCACUUCAUAGAACCUGCUGAUUAGCAAUGAGGAAAAAAUGGUGCCGUUUCCAUGGUCAUCCCCUUGUUUAG